AUAUCAGUAAGCGGAGGAAAAGAAACUAACAAGGAUUACCUCAGUAGCGGCGAGUGAAGAGGUAAAAGCCCAAGAUGAAAAUCUGGCAUAAAGUGCUAGAAUUGUAAUCUACAGAAAUUCUCAGAAGAAACAAAUCGGUCAUAAGUCCCUUGGAAAAGGGUGCCAAAGAGGGUGAUAGCCCCGUCUUAGGAUCGACGAGUUCGUAUGAGGGUUUUCUAAGAGUCGGGUAGUUUGGGAAUGCAGCUCAAAAUGGGUGGUGAACUCCAUCUAAAGCUAAAUAUUGGCGAGAGACCGAUAGCGCACAAGUA
rnacentral:rRNA from 1 species